UAAGGAAUAUUGCUCAAUGGGAGAAAUCCUGAAGCAGCAACGCCGCGUGGAGGAUGAAGGGUCUAUGACUUGUAAACUCCUGUAAAGAAGGAAAAAAUUCCCAUUAGAUGGGAGAUGAUGGUACUUCUGGAGUAAGCCCCGGCUAACUACGUACCAGCAGCCGCGGUAAUACGUAGGGGGCAAGCGUUGUCCGGAUUUACUGGGUGUAAAGGGUGCUCAGGCGGAUUUGUAAGUCAGAGGUAAAAUCUUACAGCUUAACUGUGAAACUGCCUUUGAUACUGCAAGCCUAGAGUAUGGAAGAGAGUGAUGGAAUAUCUGGUGUAGCAGUGAAAUGCGUAGAUAUCAGAUAGAACACCAAUGGCGAAGGCAGUCACUUGGUCCAUUACUGACGCUAAAGCACGAAAGCGUGGGUAGCAAACA
rnacentral:rRNA from 1 species